rnacentral:sRNA from 1 species
AUAUUUAUUAAAAACAGAGAUAGAUCUCCUACCGCCUUCUAUCACCUAUUUAACGAUUAAUUUCCGUUUUUACCGUCUAAGCGUUAGGCACUAAUCCACCGUCUGAUUAGCGCCUAACACCUUUUAAAACAUUAU